CUUUCUUCCUACUCGAGUUUCAAUACUUACCUAUCAUACUUAAGGCUUCAUCAAGUCUUUUAUACUGUCUCAUAGUUGAUCCAAAAGAGCUACAGCUCAUUAUGGCGUCAGUUUGGCUUUAAUGCUAAAUUUCGCAAACACGCUGAACUAGAUUGACAAUAAUAAAAAAAUGAACUUUAUUCGUCACUUGCUGUGUUACUUAUUAUUAAGAAUCUCAAUUAUGCUAAACAAAUUUUGACACGCAAAAAAUGCUACAAUAGAAACGGAAACGGUUGCACUCACGGAUCGUGACUGGAACAAGUAUAGCAAUCCCGCCAUAAGACCUAGAAGUUACUCUUCGGUUGCCACCAGGUGGCAUAUGAGUAGCAUAUUUCUAUGAAAUCUUUUGAUGGCUGUCUGCUGUCUGCUUAAGUGGGCAUUGAUGGCAUGUUAAUUUUUAAAAAGUUUGUACUUCAAAUAUAGGAACUAUCUUGCUUUCGGCGGAUUAUUCUCAGUUGGAACUUCGAAUAUUGGCGCAUUUGAGCGAAGACGCAGGUCUUUGUUCUGUUCUAGCCAACCCGAUGGCGAUGUUUUCCGCGGCAUUGUAUCGGUUUGGAAAAAGAAAAAGCAAGAAGAAGUCAGAGACGAUGAAAGGCAAAAAGCGAAACAAAUCUGCUACGGGAUUGUUUACGGCAUGGGAUGUAAAAGUUUAGCCGAACAGUUGGAAGUCGGGGAAGAAGAGGCUCAACUCUUUGUGAACACUUUCCACGCAAGGUAUCCUAGUAUACAAAGCUUUAUAACAAACACAGUUAACCAGUGCCGCACGAAUGGAUUUGAUGAUGUUGAUGCCUAAUUUUCUUGACAGGUCAACCGAUGUGGAAAAAAAUUCAGGAGGAAAAUUAAUUGAGCUGCUGACAUUGGCCUAUUCUGGAAUACAUCAGUUUGCAUCAUAAUCAGAAAGGUAAUAUUGCCUCUUUUAAUUCCUUAUCCAGUUGUAGCUAUGACUUGAGUCUGCGUAGAUAAAUUUCUUAGCUUUAUUUGAAAUUUGAGGCUGUGAUAACUUUUUGAAAACGACAAGAUAUUUUCUAAACUAAAGCUUCACUAGAUCUACCCAAAAGCAAGCAAUCUUUAUUUCAACAUAUAGAUAGCAAUUACUUGUUACACCAAAAGUACCCCGCCAGGGUGUGUUCUGUUAUUUCCCGCCCGAAUUAUUUUGGGUAGCUUUUUUCUCAGAAUUUAUUAAUCACAUCGUCAUGGUUUCAACUGCGCUAGGUUGGUUUACGUUAACGAUCACAUCAUCGCCGUGUCUGAUCCUUUUCGAUUGCACUAUAUGAUGCAGCGAGUGUGGGUGUAUGUCGAAAAUAUAAAUUACGCAGAAACCUCCAUAGAAGGGAAACUUGUGUGAUUAGCAUCACACACACACACACACA